CUUCUUUUGUUAAAAUCCAUUACAACAGUUAGAGGUUUCUUAACAUAAUUAGAUACUCCUUGGGGUGGUUGAUUACUCUUGAACUGGUUAUAAUUAGGCGUAUUAUUUUUAGCACCUUAGCCUUAGCAACAACAUAAGACUCAUGCAACCUAGCAAGAUGAUAGAUAGACUUGGGGCAAGGUGAGGGGUCUACCAAUUCUAAUAUCAUUAAAAAGAUGCUAAUAACAUAAUUAGUUG
rnacentral:lncRNA from 1 species